AGCAUUUCGUUUAGUGAAUGCGGAGAUAAAAGCAGCUGCUAUUGAUGUGCAAUUGGACCACUCGAAUAAGAGGCCAACUUGGAUUCAGCAUUUCGUUUAGUGAAGGCUAGCAUGCUUCCAUCAGUGCCUCAAAACAUUUGCUAUUCUUAUCUCUAGAAGGGUGCUUCUAUUGUUGUAGUGUUUAUAGCGAAAGAGGACAAAAGUCCAGCCGGACACCGUAUAACUCCGAGACAGAGGAGAGUGGAAUUUCGUGUGUAGGGGUGAAAUCCGUAGAUCUACGAAGGAACGCCAAAAGCGAAGGCAGCUCUCUGGGUCCCUACCAACGCUGGGGUGCGAAAGCAUGGGGAGCGAACAGGAUUAGAUACCCUGGUAGUCCAUGCCGUAAACGAUGAGUGUUCGCCCUAAUUUGUCUUUUUCACCAGAGCUGGAUAAAAACUUUUGAAACCUAACCAUUUGGUC
rnacentral:rRNA from 1 species